GAUGAAGAACGUAGCGAAAUGCGAUAAGUAAUGUGAAUUGCAGAAUUCAGUGAAUCAUCGAAUCUUUGAACGCACAUUGCGCCCGCUAGUAUUCUGGAGGGCAUGCCUGUCCGAGCGUCAUUUCAACCCUCAAGCCCCCGGGCUUGGUGUUGGGGAUCGGCGAGCCUCCGCGCCCGCCGUCCCCUAAAUCUAGUGGCGGUCUCGCUGUAGCUUCCUCUGCGUAGUAGCACACCUCGCACUGGGAAACAGCGCGGCCACGCCGUUAAACCCCCAACUUCUGAACGUUUGACCUCGGAUCAGGUAGGAAUACCCGCUGAACUUAAGCAUAUCAAUAAGCGGAGGA
rnacentral:misc_RNA from 1 species